UACGUAGGGGGCAAGCGUUGUCCGGAAUCAUUGGGCGUAAAGAGCGCGUAGGUGGCUAUGUAAGUCCGUUGUGAAAGUCAAAGGCUCAACCUUUGAAAGCCGAUGGAUACUGCAUAGCUAGAGUACGGAAGAGGCGAGUGGAAUUCCUGGUGUAGCGGUGGAAUGCGCAGAUAUCAGGAGGAAUACCGAUGGCGAAGGCAGCCAUCUGGCCUAACACUGACGCUGAGGUGCGAAAGCAUGGGGAGCAAACAGG
rnacentral:rRNA from 1 species